AGCUAGUUAGCCUAAUGGUUAAGGCUAUGGAUCACCAAUCCAGAGACAACGGGUUCGAUUCCUGUUCCGGUCG
rfam:Aedes albopictus isolate Foshan contig66271, whole genome shotgun sequence.